rnacentral:rRNA from 1 species
GACGAACCGAGCGAACGUUGUUCGGAAUCACUGGGCUUAAAGGGCGCGUAGGCGGGCUGUCAAGUCUGGGGUGAAAUCCCGCGGCUCAACCGCGGAACUGCCUCAGAUACUGACGGCCUCGAGGGAGGUAGGGGCGAGCGGAACUAAUGGUGGAGCGGUGAAAUGCGUUGAUAUCAUUAGGAACUCCGGUGGCGAAGGCGGCUCGCUGGACCUUUUCUGACGCUGAGGCGCGAAAGCUAGGGGAGCAAACG